AUGCAACCGACGCCACGACAAGCAGAGGAACGGAGAAUCACUUCACACUCUCCUCCCGCUUAUAUUCCACCGGUCUCGCAGCGUGGCCUAACAAGUCAAACACGUGUGCAUACUAGUAGUAGCUUGCCACUCCCUUUCUAUCCUGCAUUUCUCCUCCUGCACAGCCAGAGACCAGACAGGCACACACCCCCCCGCUCUACGAGUGCUCACGGUACCAGUAAGAAGGACAGGAGCAGGGAGGAGGGGAGAUCGAUGGCGAGCAGCGUGGGGGGAGAUGCCGGGGAAGGGGAGUGGCUCAAGGUCGCCGAGCUGAGGGCCAUGGCGGGAGCCCAGGACCCGCAUGUCAAGGAGGUGGACAACCUGACGCUCCGGAGGUUCCUGCGCGCGCGCGGCCACGACGUGGGCAAGGCCUCGGCGUUGCUGCUCAAGUUCGUGGCGUGGAGGCGGGAGGCCGUGCCGGGGGGCGUCGGCGCCGUCAUGCCGGCGGAGCUGGUGCGGGCGGAGCCGUCGCGAGAGUUGGCCUCCAUGGGCGGCGUCGACCGCGCGGGCCGCCCCGUCCUGCUCGCCUUCCCGGCCAAGCACUUCUCCGCCAACCGGGACAUGGCCGGCUUCAAGCGGCUUGUUGUGUACCUGCUGGACAGUGUCUGCGCGAGGAUCCCACGGGGGCAGGACAAGUUCAUCGUCGUCGUGGACCUCAAGGGGUGGGGGUACGCCAACUGCGACGUGCGCGCGUACGUGGCGGCCAUCGAGAUCAUGCAGAGCUACUACCCGGAGCGGCUGGGCAAGGCGCUCAUGGUGCACGUGCCCUACAUCUUCAUGAAGGCCUGGAAGAUGGUCUACCCCUUCAUCGACGCCAACACCAGGGACAAGUUCGUGUUCGUGGACAACAAGAGCCUGGAGGGGGCGCUGCGGCGGGAGAUGGAUGAGAGCCAGGUGCCGGAGAUGUACGGCGGGAAGCUGCCCAUUGCCCCCCUCACCGACGACUAG
rnacentral:rRNA from 1 species